rnacentral:lncRNA from 1 species
UGAGUCGCUGAGCGGCCGUGACUCAGCCAGUUUCCGCCCUGGCUGUCUGUCUGUCCGUCAGUCGGUCUGUCUGGGGAGUCUGCCUCCUCCGAGGGCACUGGUGGGAGAUUCCAGUCAGCCGUGUUCCCGCUGGGAAGUGGAAAUGCUCAACAUCAGACAUUGGACUAAGAGGAAGGUAGUGCUGAGGAGCCCAAUAGAUUGCUGUCCUGAGAUUCAUAUUCCAGUGGAGAGCAGGGAAAACAGAAGGUACAAACUGCCAGACGAGACCACUUCUGCAACUACGUUAUAGAAUGGCUUGCAAAUGCUGAAAAUAUAGAUGUCGGAUCAUCUUGUGAGAUGUGCUUAAGAUUAUGAACAUUGUGCAUAAAAUUGAAAACACUCAACUCAGAAAAGGGCUUUGGUCUCUUGUUCUGAAGUUCUUCAGGAACUAAGGGCAGGAGUCGGUGAGGAGGCUGUCUCCUCCAUACCACACACAGUGAAUCUCCUCAAAAAUUGUCUCAUUUCUCAUCUGUAAUGAACUCUCAGAACAGCCAGAGUCUAAGAAGCAAGGUCUACUGGGAGCAAUUGUAUGAGCAUUGUGUUUUUCUUAGUGAAUAAAUCUCUGAGUGCAAAACAAAAUUUUUAUCAAUGUUGAGGUGAAAUAUACUAACAAAAAUUCCAAACAAAACACAGCAAGGGUGGAGCCAAGAGGGGGCAGGUGGUGUUCAAAUUGAUGAGGGAUCAUUUGAACUUACAUCAUUUCUGACUUUAUAUUAAAAUGAUAUUCAGGGGAUUUGUAAAGAGAGUCAGUUUGCAACAAUAAGGUGUGCAGAAUGAGGCUAUUCAUGAGCCUUUAACACACUGCCAAAGUCGGAAAGCAGAUGGCAACGUUGUGCU